CCAAGAAAGCGUUUGCAGCUGCCUAAAUUAGAAUUAGUUAGCUAAUUAAGCUGUAGUUAAAAGGAGGUGUGAGACUUCACCUCAGUGCUUACCCCUUGAGACCUCCUUGAGUGGAGGAGGGUGAGAGGCCACUGGAAACAGUCAUGUGCAGGAGGGAGGUGUGUGUAGCUGGGAAACAGAGUCUGAUUCUCCACUGAGCAAAGUGUUGGAGAGAGCUCCAAAGGACAGGAGAGAGGAACCUCCCCAGAGAGUGUCAAGAAUGAGUCCAAGAGAGGAUUCUGGGAUCUGUGUCCAGUGAAAGCUACCCAUGCCCACCUUACUUGCCCAGCUCUGAUAUCAUGGAAGGGCACACAGGAGUAAGUUUAUAAAACGCCAUGACUGGAGGCGGAAAUGGACAGGGUGGGCACAAGGUAAAAUUCAGCCUGAACCCGCCCAUGUACGUUGUGUGGAAGACAGCAUGAACCUGCUGACCUGCGUGUCCCGCGAGUUUUGGGCUGGCCAGCACAUCACUACUGCUCUCCGUCAGACACUACACUUUGUAAACAAAGGCUGAGAAUCCUGCUCAUGAAGGUCCUUGUACAUUGAUUGUGGUCACAGUAGCAAGGAAACAUCUCUGAAACAGUCUGUCUGGAUCUUGUGGUUGGUUGUCACAGUCCAGUUUAUGGCUCAGAAAAUGACGUUUGAAACCAUUGGGUGCAACUGAUUGGCUGGAUCUGCUUGGACCUUCUAAGGAAUUUUGCUCUGUCCCUGAAACAAUAAAACAUGAAGAUGCACUGUAUACCUGUUAACAUUGUUUCUGUAAGAAAACAGCAGGAGGAGACAUUAAUGCAAAUGAUUUGAAUGUUACUAUUUUUACUGAUCAUGGGGAUGGAGGCAAAGGGACAAAUGGGACAAAGCUGCAAUAUUUCUUGCACGUUUCACCUUUCCCUGCCAUCAUUGCCUAUUGGUGCAGGAACUGCACUUCUCCCAUGAUUAGUGCACUGUCUGUAAUAUUUUAGAAUAAGCGACUGGGUCUACUUGGAUAAAUGAAACAAUAUUAUCUGUUGUUUUUGUUAAUAAAGUAUAUGACAUAUUACACAGCA